rnacentral:rRNA from 1 species
CCUACGGGGUGCAGCAGUAGGGAAUAUUGCUCAAUGGGGGAAACCCUGAAGCAGCAACGCCGCGUGGAGGAUGAAGGUCUUCGGAUUGUAAACUCCUUUUGUUAGAGAAGAUAAUGACGGUAUCUAACGAAUAAGCACCGGCUAACUUCGUGCCAGCAGCCGCGGUAAUACGGAGGGUGCAAGCGUUACUCGGAAUCACUGGGCGUAAAGAGCGCGUAGGCGGGAUAGCAAGUCAGAUGUGAAAGCCUAGGGCUUAACCAUAGAACUGCAUUUGAAACUGUUAUUCUAGAGUAUGGGAGAGGUAGGUGGAAUUCUUGGUGUAGGGGUGAAAUCCGUAGAGAUCAAGAGGAACACUCAUGGCGAAGGCGACCUGCUAGAACGUAACUGACGCUGAUGCGCGAAAGCGUGGGGAGCAAACAGGAUUAGAUACCCGUGUAGUC